AGAGUUUGAUCAUGGCUCAGGAUGAACGCUAGCUACAGGCUUAACACAUGCAAGUCGAGGGGAAACGACAUCGAAAGCUUGCUUUUGAUGGGCGUCGACCGGCGCACGGGUGAGUAACGCGUAUCCAACCUGCCCACCACUUGGGGAUAACCUUGCGAAAGUAAGACUAAUACCCAAUGAUAUCUCUAGAAGACAUCUGAAAGAGAUUAAAGAUUUAUCGGUGAUGGAUGGGGAUGCGUCUGAUUAGCUUGUUGGCGGGGUAACGGCCCACCAAGGCAACGAUCAGUAGGGGUUCUGAGAGGAAGGUCCCCCACAUUGGAACUGAGACACGGUCCAAACUCCUACGGGAGGCAGCAGUGAGGAGUAUUGGUCAAUGGGCGAGAGCCUGAACCAGCCAAGUAGCGUGCAGGACGACGGCCCUAUGGGUUGUAAACUGCUUUUAUAAGGGAAUAAAGUGAGUCUCGUGAGACUUUUUGCAUGUACCUUAUGAAUAAGGACCGGCUAAUUCCGUGCCAGCAGCCGCGGUAAUACGGAAGGUCCGGGCGUUAUCCGGAUUUACUGGGUGUAAAGGGAGCGUAGACGGAGUGGCAAGUCUGAUGUGAAAACCCGGGGCUCAACCCCGGGACUGCAUUGGAAACUGUCAAUCUAGAGUACCGGAGAGGUAAGCGGAAUUCCUAGUGUAGCGGUGAAAUGCGUAGAUAUUAGGAGGAACACCAGUGGCGAAGGCGGCUUACUGGACGGUAACUGACGUUGAGGCUCGAAAGCGUGGGGAGCAAACAGGAUUAGAUACCCUGGUAGUCCACGCCGUAAACGAUGACUACUAGGUGUCGGGCAGCAAAGCUGUUCGGUGCCGCAGCAAACGCAAUAAGUAGUCCACCUGGGGAGUACGUUCGCAAGAAUGAAACUCAAAGGAAUUGACGGGGGCCCGCACAAGCGGUGGAGCAUGUGGUUUAAUUCGAAGCAACGCGAAGAACCUUACCUGCUCUUGACAUCUCCCUGACCGGCAAGUAAUGUUGCCUUUCCUUCGGGACAGGGAUGACAGGUGGUGCAUGGUUGUCGUCAGCUCGUGUCGUGAGAUGUUGGGUUAAGUCCCGCAACGAGCGCAACCCCUAUCUUUAGUAGCCAGCGGUUUGGCCGGGCACUCUAGAGAGACUGCCAGGGAUAACCUGGAGGAAGGUGGGGAUGACGUCAAAUCAUCAUGCCCCUUAUGAGCAGGGCUACACACGUGCUACAAUGGCGUAAACAAAGGGAGGCAGAACCGCGAGGUCGAGCAAAUCCCAAAAAUAACGUCUCAGUUCGGAUUGUAGUCUGCAACUCGACUACAUGAAGCUGGAAUCGCUAGUAAUCGCGAAUCAGAAUGUCGCGGUGAAUACGUUCCCGGGUCUUGUACACACCGCCCGUCACACCAUGGGAGUCAGUAACGCCCGAAGUCAGUGACCCAACCGUAAGGAGGGAGCUGCCGAAGGUGGGACCGAUAACUGGGGUGAAGUCGUAACAAGGUA
rnacentral:rRNA from 1 species